UUUUAGAAUUCGACUCUGAGAACAUUUUGUUGGCAAAUACGUCUUCAAAACAAUUCAGAACCAAAUUUAACCAAAUCCAAACAGUCUGGCAAGCCACUUGGGUUUAGGUAGACAGGGGAGUAUUGUUUAGGGUAGCAGUAAAACUCAUUAAAAGAAAAAGCCCUGGUCAAGAGAACAGACUCUCUGGGCUGACUGCAGAGCCAACAUUCCACAUUCCAGUGAGGUCAAUUCAAUUGUCUUGGGGAGGACCCACCCCUAGGCAGGCAGGCUGGCUCACCUUAAGCCAGGCUGAAGAGAUAGGCAGAAUACACUUUCCUUUAGUGCCUGCCUAUGGCCUGAGUCAGGAAGACACCUCUUUUUCCUUUUUCAUUUUUCCUGUCUCUGAUGCUGGCCAUAACCUAAGCAUGCCUUCUCUCAUGCUUUGGGCACUCUUACUGUUUCCCUAAAGCUUCCGUCUGCGCCGCACUGCCACCGUAAGCCCCGUACCAGUUUACACAGCCCCUUGGUUUCUCUGUCACCCUCCUCUGGGUCACUGCUGAGAUUUGCAGCUCGUCUGCCCUGGGAGCUUUUCUUUUAAACUCUCAUAAAAUUGUCCUUGCGCUUCUGUUUGAAUCCAUUCUUAAAUCAUUUUACCAAUGAAACUAAGAGCCUAAAGUGAUGGCCUCAGUUUCCCCUGUAUUAUUACGCGACAGAAGGAACUCCCUCGAAUUCCCGGAACAGUAUCGAAUCAUUCCCUGUAAAAGAUCACAUUUUCUUGGAGAGCUAAUAGCUUUGGGGCUUGCUUUGAAAUCAAAUAUUUGCCCAAAGCGGUAGGCAAGCACAUGGCUGUUAGGUUUGCCAGACAGUUAGUCACGGUAACUUGCUCAGCCUGGUUACCUAGAGGGUGAGCCUGUAGCAGAAUGUGAAUGAUACAGGGUUCAGCCAAUCAAAGCCUCGCGCACAGUUACUGAGUGAGGAGGGGCUCAGGUGCCAACCAGAGGCGAUAACACACCAGGACCCUGGAGUCACUGGAAUGGAGUUUGGAGAAAUUCCAGAUAUGACAUCCAUCUAGGGUUCAUGGAAAAUCCCCAGCCAGCUGCAGAAGACUAAUGCAAAUCCUAUGGUCAAGAUGAAUAAUGAUAUGAUAAAGUUCUGACCUUGCUGAGAAAUACAUCUGAGGUCAAGAUACCCAAUGUGAUGACCUGUAACCUUUAUGAAAAACCAACAUCCUGUUGACAUCAGCUGACACACGAAUACUGUGUCCUUGGCCUGCGUAAAUGUUUCCCACCUGCCCACUCUCUCUGUUACCCCUGCUAUGGUAUAAACUCAGCCUUGGGGAAAAAAUAAAAUUGUCACCUUGAUCAGA